rnacentral:rRNA from 1 species
UGGGGAAUAUUGGACAAUGGGCGAAAGCCUGAUCCAGCAAUGCCGCGUGAGUGAUGAAGGCCUUAGGGUUGUAAAGCUCUUUUACCCGGGAUGAUAAUGACAGUACCGGGAGAAUAAGCCCCGGCUAACUCCGUGCCAGCAGCCGCGGUAAUACGGAGGGGGCUAGCGUUGUUCGGAAUUACUGGGCGUAAGGCGCACGUAGGCGGCUUUGUAAGUUAGAGGUGAAAGCCCGGGGCUCAACUCCGGAAUUGCCUUUAAGACUGCAUCGCUAGAAUUGUGGAGAGGUAAGUGGAAUUCCGAGUGUAGAGGUGAAAUUCGUAGAUAUUCGGAAGAACACCAGUGGCGAAGGCGACUUACUGGACACAUAUUGACGCUGAGGUGCGAAAGCGUGGGGAGCAAACAGG